UGAGGAAUAUUGGUCAAUGGGCGAGAGCCUGAACCAGCCAAGUAGCGUGCAGGAUGACGGCCCUAUGGGUUGUAAACUGCUUUUUAAGGUGAAUAAAGAGGGGCACGUGUGCCCUGUUGCAUGUAACCUUGGAAUAAGGACCGGCUAAUUCCGUGCCAGCAGCCGCGGUAAUACGGAAGGUCCGGGUGUUAUCCGGAUUUAUUGGGUUUAAAGGGAGCGUAGGCCGCAGGUUAAGUGUGUUGUGAAAAGCAGUCGCCCAACGUCUGCCUUGCAGCGCAAACUGUCCUGCUUGAGUGCGCACAACGCAGGCGGAAUUCGUCGUGUAGCGGUGAAAUGCUUAGAUAUGACGAAGAACUCCGAUUGCGAAGGCAGCUUGCGGGAGCGCAACUGACGCUGAAGCUCGAAAGUGCGGGUAUCGAACA
rnacentral:rRNA from 1 species